GUGCCAGCCGCCGCGGUAAGACGUAGGGCGCGAGCGUUGUCCGGAUUUAUUGGGCGUAAAGAGCUCGUAGGCGGCUCGUUGCGUCAACCGUGAAAACCCGGGGCUUAACUUCGGGCUUGCGGUUGAUACGGGCGGGCUGGAGUUCGGUAGGGGAGACUGGAAUUCCUGGUGUAGCGGUGAAAUGCGCAGAUAUCAGGAGGAACACCGGUGGCGAAGGCGGGUCUCUGGGCCGAUACUGACGCUGAGGAGCGAAAGCGUGGGGAGCGAACAGGAUUAGAAACCCCAGUAGUCC
rnacentral:rRNA from 1 species